CAACCUUCGACGAUUACCAGUUGAGCCUGCCACUACAAAUGAACUAACUUCAGCAGUCACGGACGGGCAAAUAUCUUCCACUACCGUUGGACCUCUCAUCUACCCAGGGACUGAAAGUACAACUGCAGAGCCAACUGACUCCACAACUGAGGCGGGCAGACCCUUGAAGAUCACACAACAACGUUAGAAAUGACAACAAUUCCAGAUGAAACAAUUACCAUUAUUACACAAGGACCAUCAGCUAGCUCAACGAUAGAAGCAAUAACCACAACACAGUCUCCAACUCCACCAUCUACCACACCCUUUUUAACUACUGAAACUACAUUACCUUUCACAACCACACCCAACACACCUUCUUCAACUACAUCAACUACCCCACCUACCACAACUACCCUAAUUACAUCAACUACCCCACCUACCACACCUUCUUCAACUACAUCAACUACCCCACCUACCACACCUUCUUCAACUACAUCAACUACCCCACCUACCACAACUACCCUAAUUACAUCAACUACCCCACCUACCACAACUACCCUAAUUACAUUAACUACCCCACACCACACCUCCAACUACGUUAACUACAUCAACUACACCUACCACACUUUCUCCAACUACCCUAACUACAUCAACUACAUCAUCUACUACACCUAUCCCCCUGCCCCUUCUACUACACCUACUUCAACUACCCCUUCUACCACACCUAUCCCAACUACCCCUUCUACAACACCUACCCAACUACUACACCUACUUCAACUCCCCCUUCUACUACACCUACCCCAAAUACCCUUCUACAACACCUACCCCAACUACUACACCUACUUCAACUACCCCUUCUACGAUACCAACUUCAACUACCCCUUCUACUACACCUACCCAAACGAACCCUUCUACUGCACCCACUCCAACUUCUACAACUGCAUCUCCUUCAUUGACGUCACCUUCACUCUCAACAACUGGACCUCCGAUACUUGUAACUGUGGACACCAUUGAAGUAUCAACAGACGUCACUGUUAGACUCAACAAAACAUUUAAAAAGAAUACAGUGACCCAUUAACACAGGAAUACCAAGAUUUUACAGAAAAUUUCACUAACGACAUGACCUUACUGUACAACCGCACUAUCAACAAUUUUAUCGGCAUAGUAAUAAUAGGACUCAGGAAUGGCAGUGUCGUGGUGGAGCAUGUGGUUCUACUGCGCAUAGAGAAUGGGAAGAAUUUAAAGUCAUGAGAUUGCUGAGUCAGAACAACAGAUCAAGGACAUUCUCAACGAGGCAAAAACUGCACCACAGG